rnacentral:rRNA from 1 species
GACGAACGCUGGCGGCGUGCCUAAUACAUGCAAGUCGAACGCUUUUUCUUUCACCGGAGCUUGCUCCACCGAAAGAAAAAGAGUGGCGAACGGGUGAGUAACACGUGGGUAACCUGCCCAUCAGAAGGGGAUAACACUUGGAAACAGGUGCUAAUACCGUAUAACACUAUUUUCCGCAUGUAAGAAAGUUGAAAGGCGCUUUUGCGUCACUUAUGGAUGGACCCGCGGUGCAUUAGCUAGUUGGUGAGGUAACGGCUCACCAAGGCAACGAUGCAUAGCCGACCUGAGAGGGUGAUCGGCCACACUGGGACUGAGACACGGCCCAGACUCCUACGGGAGGCAGCAGUAGGGAAUCUUCGGCAAUGGACGAAAGUCUGACCGAGCAACGCCGCGUGAGUGAAGAAGGUUUUCGGAUCGUAAAACUCUGUUGUUAGAGAAGAACAAGGAUGAGAGUAGAACGUUCAUCCCUUGACGGUAUCUAACCAGAAAGCCACGGCUAACUACGUGCCAGCCGCCGCAGUAA